rnacentral:snRNA from 1 species
AUAAAAUACAAAACAAUAUAUUA